UGUACACGUCACUUAAAAAUCCAGACGCUGGCCUACGGCACGUGCUCAUUAACCGUGGUUUUUGUCCUCCACUUACAGGUCAGAUUGAGUGCUUUUAGCCGGAAGAUUUGGUCGCUGUUACUGCUGAAAUGAUGACUACAGGCCUUACAAUGGAGAAACUUGAUGAAAUUCAAUGAUUUGCCCAUGGAGGAAGGUUCAUGUCCGUCCUCCAGGCCGGGCUCAGAAUCAGGCAUAGGGCCCGGCUAGGCCUAGUCAUGAUACUUGAUAGUGGCACGCCCUUUCCCCAUUAUGCCCAUGCAUGGAGGAAGGAAAACAGGCCCAUGCAACACUUAGACUAAAAUUGUUAGUAAAAGUAAAAGUGAAGGCUGUGAGGCUUUCUCCUCUUCUUCACUUCACUUUAUUUUCCAUGUAAUAUAAAAAAAGAUACAUGUAGCAAUAGUACGUAUUUAGUUGAUGGACGGAGACCCCCAAGAAGCCAUGGAGGUAGAACAUGAAGCAUUGCUUGUCGAAUCAUGGAGGAAUGUGUUCCUUCCUCCAUGGUCGAAUGGAGGAUCCAUAGACGCUUAUGAUAUGACAACACUACGGUACAAGAACUAGGCCCUGCAACCAAGGUCCAUUUGUCUCCUCUUUGAGUAUUGGUGAAGAUUGUGGAAUGAAGAAUGUGUGCAUUUCACAGCAUCCAAACUGGGAAGAAACGGAGGACAGAGAGAGACUGAGAAAGAGGAGUGGAACUCAACCCCUUCGGACGAUGCAGAUGACCUGAGAACAAGGCCAUGAAGGAGUUACCACUCUAGGGGUUGGCCGAGGGAAUCAUGUACUGAAGACUGCAUAUGAUGACUAGCAUCUGCAGACACCAUGGACACUGGAACAGUGGUGUCUUCAGGCUUGCGAGCUACAGCUCCUAGGAUGCUUUUG